CCAAUAGGGCUGCUACUGCAGGUUACUUUGAUAUAGUAAAUAUAGGACUUUUGUUUCGUUGGU
rnacentral:tRNA from 1 species